rnacentral:tRNA from 1 species
GCGAGAGUAGCACAGUGGUAGUGCAGUAGCCUUCCAAGCUACCUACGGCGGUUCGAUCCCGCUCUCCCGCUCCA